UGCCAGCCGCCGCGGUAAUACGUAGGUGGCGAGCGUUAUUCGGAUUUAUUGGGCGUAAAGGGUCCGUAGGGGGUUUAUUAAGUCUGGCGUGAAAUCCCGAGGCUCAACCUCGGAACUGCACUGGAUACUGAUGGACUAGAGCAUAGGAGAGGAGAGUGGAAUUCCUGGUGUAGCGGUGGAAUGCGUAGAUAUCAGGAGGAACACCGAUGGCGAAGGCAGCUCUCUGGACUAUUGCUGACCCUGAGGGACGAAAGCUAGGGGAGCGAACAGGAUUAGAUA
rnacentral:rRNA from 1 species